UUGAAGUAAAAUAAAUUCCAUUAUACUCUAUUUUGACCAUAUGAUCAACACUUGUACAUAGUGCCAUUUACUUUGUGUUCUUCACUCUCGCGCUGUGUUGUGAUCGUUCGAAACUCAUUGCCAGAACGAAUGCAAUUUUCAUUUGGGAAGGAUUGGUGCUGGAAGAUGCAGCGAAAAUCAUUAAAUGUGAAUAGAAAAGUGGUUAAGUAAAUCGUGAAAGAUGUCAACGCAGGCGUAAAUGCAGUUUGUUUUGUUACAUGAUCUACGGCUAUUUCAUUGCCAAAGCUCCUGAUAACAGAUCAAAGCAGAUGGAUCGGGCAUACAGUGUCGCCAUUUAACAUUAAAUAUCUUCUUGAUCGGCAAACGCAUCAAACACCAAGUGUUUCUCUUCCAACAGCACGCGCUAUCGGUGGAGCAAUCAGCCAACGAUUUGAUCGCCAGUACGCGCCAUCAAGAAUUGAUAUUUUGCCAAACAGUACUGUGAAUAAAAAACUGCACACUUACUGUCGGAA